AAAUUGAAGAGUUUGAUCAUGGCUCAGAUUGAACGCUGGCGGCAGGCCUAACACAUGCAAGUCGAACGGUAACAGGAAGCAGCUUGCUGCUUUGCUGACGAGUGGCGGACGGGUGAGUAAUGUCUGGGAAACUGCCUGAUGGAGGGGGAUAACUACUGGAAACGGUGGCUAAUACCGCAUAACGUCGCAAGACCAAAGAGGGGGACCUUCGGGCCUCUUGCCAUCAGAUGUGCCCAGAUGGGAUUAGCUUGUUGGUGAGGUAACGGCUCACCAAGGCGACGAUCCCUAGCUGGUCUGAGAGGAUGACCAGCCACACUGGAACUGAGACACGGUCCAGACUCCUACGGGAGGCAGCA
rnacentral:rRNA from 2 species